rnacentral:rRNA from 1 species
UACGUAGGGUGCAAGCGUUGUCCGGAAUUAUUGGGCGUAAAGAGCUCGUAGGCGGUCUGUCGCGUCGGUCGUGAAAACUUGGGGCUUAACCCUGAGCUUGCGGUCGAUACGGGCAUGACUGGAGUUCGGUAGGGGAGACUGGAAUUCCUGGUGUAGCGGUGAAAUGCGCAGAUAUCAGGAGGAACACCGGUGGCGAAGGCGGCCCACUGGUCCGGUACUGACGCUGAGGUGCGAAAGCGUGGGGGAGCAAACAGG